rnacentral:rRNA from 1 species
CCUACGGGAGGCAGCAGUGAGGAAUAUUGGUCAAUGGACGAGAGUCUGAACCAGCCAAGUAGCGUGAAGGAUGACUGCCCUAUGGGUUGUAAACUUCUUUUAUAUGGGAAUAAAACGUUCCACGUGUGGGAUUUUGUAUGUACCAUAUGAAUAAGGAUCGGCUAACUCCGUGCCAGCAGCCGCGGUAAUACGGAGGAUCCGAGCGUUAUCCGGAUUUAUUGGGUUUAAAGGGAGCGUAGGUGGAUUGUUAAGUCAGUUGUGAAAGUUUGCGGCGCAACCGUAAAAUUGCAGUUGAAACUGGCAGUCUUGAGUACAGUAGAGGUGGGCGGAAUUCGUGGUGUAGCGGUGAAAUGCUUAGAUAUCACGAAGAACUCCGAUUGCGAAGGCAGUUCACUGGACUGCAACUGACACUGAGGCUCGAAAGUGUGGGUAUCAAACAGGAUUAGAUACCCCUGUAGUC